GGGGACGUAGCUCAGUUGGGAGAGCACCUGCCUUGCAAGCAGGGGGUCGGGAGUUCGAAUCUCCUCGUCUCCACCA
rnacentral:tRNA from 4 species